GGAAGUUGUUAAAGAUGGAAUCCCAGAACCGACUGCUCAACUACCAGAGACAACUCCAGGAGCAGAUAAAGGCAAAGAAGCUACAAACCUGAAAGCUCUAAAAACCAAAGAUACUGCUGCGCUCCAACUCAUUCAACUUGCCGUCGCUGAUGUGGUCUUUGACAAGAUCCUCUCUGCAACCUCGGCACAUCAAGCAUGGAUACUUCUGGAGCACUCUUACCAAGGUAACGAAAAAGUCAAAACUGUUAGACUUCAGUCACUAAGGAGAGAGUUUGAAAAUCUGAAAAUGAAAGAAGGGGAAAAGGUUAAAGGAUAUUCUGAUAGAAUUCAAGUGGUUGCAAACCAAAUGAGUGCCUUAGGAGAAGGUAAAUCUAACUUUGAUUUGGUUGUUAAGAUGCUUGCUUCUAUGCCCAAAAGCUAUGCCUCCUUGUCCUCAUUGAUGGAAGAAACCAAAGACCUGAAGACUGUCACUUAUGCUGAACUAAUUGGUUCAUUGGAGGCACACGAAAAGAAGUUCUUUCCAGAAGAUGAAGAAGAUUCUGAAGGUGCCUUCUAUGCCCGUUUCAAGAAUCCAAACAUGGAGAACAAUGGCAGAACAAAUCAAGGUCAGUCAAGUUACAGAAAGAGAAGGUGGUGUGGUCACUGUAAAAGGGAUAAUCACAAUGAAGACAUGUGUUUUGAGAAACAUAGUAGGUUGAGGAACUGUUAUGUCUGUGGUAAAUCUGGUCACUUCUCAAGAGACUGCCAAGCCAAGAAAUCUGAGGAAGCAAAUGUUACCCAAGAGAAAGAAGAAGUGAAGGAGGAGAACUACCAUAUGUUCACUGCAAGACAAGAAAACGGAGAUGCAAAUGAUCUCAACAGUUGGCUUAUUGAUAGCGGAUGCACAAAUCACAUGACUCCAAAUGAAGCAAUCUUUACUAACCUUGACACCAGCUUCAAUGUACCUAUUCGUAUAGGAAAUGGAGAUGUGCUGAUGACAAAAGGCAAGGGAGAUAUUGAGGUAGAAACCACCAAUGGGAAAAGAAUCAUUCGUGAUGUUUUCCUAGUACCCAACAUUACCAAGAAUCUCCUGAGCGUCUCUCAAAUGAUUGAUCGUGGAUACGAGAUUAACUUCUUUGAAGGGAGCUGUGUCAUUCGUGAUCAAACUGGAAGACUUGUUGCUGACAUAAAGAUGAUCGGGAAAAGCUUCCAUAUCCAAUGGCCCACAAGAAAUGAAGCAACUAUGGCUGCAAUAAAAGAUGAAGCUAAGCCUGAGUUUCAGCUGUGUGAAAAGUGCAAGUGCUCAAUUCCAACAGAUCUACUGCCAUACAAAAAGAGGUCUACAAUCUCAGAGUCUCCUAAAUCUGGAGUUAAAAUCAACAUAUCCAACCAAAGAGAGUGGAUCAGAAUUGAUAAAGGAGAAUCAAAUGCUGAACCUGUAGUAUGUCAAGAAGAAAAGUCCAACGCUGAAAGAAGGAAGCUGGUGAACAAGGAAGUGAACAAAGGAAGUUCCGAAAAUUACCAAAAGAGAUUCAAGGUCAAUGAACCAAUUGAAGUUGCUCAAAAGAGCGAAAAGAAAAAGGAAGAGUUGAAAUGCUUACUUGUGUCUGGAAAACCAAACAUCAUCCAGACGGGAGAAUCAAGUAUGAAUCAAGAAAACCAACAAAGCAAGCUGAAAUCUGUUGAAGGAAGAACCGAUGGUGAAUUGAGAAAAGCCACCAUAGAGAUCACCAAAAAGGUUAAUGAAUUCAAUGCUCGGUCUCCCGAAAUUCUGCAGGAAAAGAAAAAGGUAAAACUAGUUGAAUCAGAAGGGACGAAUGAAAUUCAGAAAAAAAUUGUUAUAGAGGGAGAAUCGAAACCUGAAGAUGCAAGUACCAUUGAUACCUCAAGCAAGAGAGAGAUGGUGAAACUGAACACUCCCAUGAGCUAUGCUGACGCUCUAAAACGAGCCCCUCCGAUGAAACAUUGGCUAAGCCGCAAUGAACUAAAGGUACCAAAACUCAAAU
rnacentral:lncRNA from 1 species